AGGAGAGGUAACGCCUCCUCCUCCGCGGCGCCAACGCCCUGGGCUCAGGCGGCGACGACGACUCCGACGUCAUCGCGCUCAAGAACUACAUGAACGCGCAAUACUUUGGGGAGAUCGGCAUCGGCUCGCCGCAGCAGAAGUUCACCGUCAUCUUCGACACCGGCAGUUCCAACCUCUGGGUGCCGUCCUCCAAGUGCUACUUCUCGAUCGCUUGCUACUUCCACUCGCGCUACAAGUCAGGGCAGUCAAGCACUUACAAGAAGAACGG